CAGCACAGCACCCCCAGUCAUGGUUAGAAAUUGUGAUGAUCCAUGUGCAGAAGUCUGCUCCUGCAAAUGAAUAACUUUUGCUAGAUUGGGAAGAAAAGAAGAAAAAAGAAAGGACCAAUUGCUUGCUGACAGUUGAGACUUGAAAUGAAGAAUAACCCGGAUGUGGUCUCCAGAAGAGUACUUUCAGAAAACCUCCCUGCCAGAAUGCAGACUCUGAGCAGCAACUGUGGGCCUGUAUUUUUGAGGGUGGAUCUUACCUUCAGAUCCAAAAGAUCCAUAUCUAAAUAGAAUAUCUCAAGGUUAAUGAGUCUAGAAGGCUAUGCUGAUGAAGAACUCUUCCGGUGUUUCUGUAAAAGAAAACAAAAAUGAAUCAUGGAAAAGGGAAAAGGAAUAUCAUCCUUUGGAAUCCUUACUAUGAACAGAACAUGCUUCAGACUGAAAUAAGAAGAGCCCAAAAUGGCUGAGAAGGAGAAACAGCUGGCAAGAAAGACAGAAACUGUUGUUGUGCAAUCUGUGGCCACAGGAAUAUUCUUGGAAGUAAGAAAGGAAGAACCUAUGGAAUUCUCUAGUAAUAUAUGAAAACAUCUCUGUGGAGAUAUGAACCUGAUUUGUGGCAUGUGCUAACGCAAACUUGGAUGCAAAGAACUUGUGAGUGGAAGGAGAAAAUGUAGAAUGUCACACUUUUGUGAAUGCUUCUGCAAGCACUAGCAGAGUGCAGUGCUACAAUAUGUCAGGGUUGUUGUUACAGUGCAAGAUAUAUGCUGAAUAAGAGAGAUUUGGGGUGUAGCAUUAAAACUGUAGUGACCAAACAGAAUUUGUGCAAGAGAUUGUGCAAACAGAAGAACUUCCCUGGACUAGAAUUUGAUAUGUAGUGCUCUUCCACUAGGUUGGCAACAGCCUUCCUCGUGAAGGAAAGGUUUUCUGCUAAGGAGUGGCACCUUUGGCUUCAAGCCUCAGUGUUUUGUUUAAAGAUAGGAAAAAGUGACAACUAUUGAAUAUACCCACUAUUCUUUUUUUUUGUGAAGCAGCUUACACAAACUCUUCCAAAACUUAUACAAACUCUUCCAAAACAUAUUCAGACUUCUCCUUUUCUUCAUAUCUUUCAUAGUUUUCUAAGGUGUCCUUUGAACAUCACACUAGCACUGUAAGACUUGCUUUCCUGGAUAUUCUGGUGUUCAUUGGAUUUCACUAGUAUGACCAUAUGGUUGCAGGUCUUUAAAUACUGCAGGAGCGCUAUAGGAUGAGCUCACAGAAAAGCACUUUUCAAGAUACUUGAAAACAAGUAUCCUGAAAACUAUUUCAGGACACCUGAAAUAGCACUGGAAAUACGUCCCAAGUGUUUAACUCAUUGAUAUUUUUGACAAAAAGGGGAAAAGGCAUUUUCUUGACUCUUCUGGAAAACAAUUUUCAGAGACUUUCAGAAAACUGUAAUGAAAAAGAAAAAGUGGAUCCACCAGUUGUGAAAACAUCAUAAAUCAGUUCCCAAAAGGGAAAGGUGUUUUAUUGUGAAAAUAAUUUCUGUUUCUGAAACUGUUUCAGGCACAAUAUAAGUCUAUACACUAUUUUUCAAGAAUAAUUCAAGAGUGUUGUGGCACUUUAAAGAUUAAUAAAAGUAUUGUGACAUAAGCUUUAAUGAGUCAGAGUCCACUUUGCCAUAUGCCAAAAGUGGUCAGUGAAGUGGUUAGGUAGGUUCAUGUGCUGUGAGUACAGAGAUAAGAGAAUAUAUAUAGGUCAAGAGCUUAAGUGACCACUUCAUGCAUUGAAUGCAUUUGCCCCACAAAUUUAAGUCAAAAUAAAUGUGCUAAUCUUUAAGGUGCCUAAGAUAUUUCUUACUUUUGCUUCCAUAUAUUAACUUGAUUAGUACCUCUCUUGAAUUUGUUUUGGGAACAUCUUUCUUAGGAUUGGUGAAAGGCUCACUAUUUUUUUACUGCUGUGUGCUAGACCCUUUAUUUCUGUGCCAUGGUUCUUACUUUUUUAACCAGAAAAAAAGACAAACCACAGCACCAGAUGCACAAAAACAUAUGUAAAAUGUGUUGUUCUUGUUCCAAAAAGCACCCUAGGGAAUGCUUUGCAAGGAAUAGUUAGCAGAACUAGCCAUCCUUUGCAAAAUCUAGCUGCCUGGCAUUUCAUCACCAUGCCAUGGAGAUGCUUCUUCAGAGUGAGAAUGUAUUGACUUGAAGCAACAGUAGAUACCAAAUCAUCCUAAAAGCUUUGCAGAGCUGUUAAACAAUAACUCAGAACAAAGUCACAGGGAAUGCAUAUUUCUCUGUGCAACUAGAUGAUUAAAAGGAAAACAUUUGUUCACACUUCAUUUACAUUUAUUAAAGUGCCAGGGUAGCAGCUCAUCCAUAGAGUGGGUAUAUUCAGGAUAAAUAAGUUAAAUCUGAGAAAUUAAUUAGUUCUACUAAUUAUGCUUAUUCUU